rnacentral:rRNA from 1 species
AUAGCGUAUAUUAAAGUUGUUGCAGUUAAAAAGCUCGUAGUUGAACUUCAGACCUGGCUGGGCGGUCUGCCUAACGGUAUGUACUGUCCGGCUGGGUCUUACCUCUUGGUGAGCCGGCAUGCCCUUCACUGGGUGUGUCGGGGAACCAGGACUUUUACCUUGAGAAAAUUAGAGUGUUCAAAGCAGGCUUAUGCCCGAAUACAUUAGCAUGGAAUAAUAAAAUAGGACGUGCGGUUCUAUUUUGUUGGUUUCUAGAGUCGCCGUAAUGAUUAAUAGGGAUAGUUGGGGGCAUUAGUAUUCCGUUGCUAGAGGUGAAAUUCUUGGAUUUACGGAAGACUAACUAUUGCGAAAGCAUUUGCCAAGGAUGUUUUCAUUAAUCAAGAACGAAGGUUAGGGGAUCGAAAACGAUCAGAUACCGUUGUAGUCUUAACAGUAAACUAUGCCGACUAGGGAUCGGGCGAACUCAAUUUGAUGUGUCGCUCGGCACCUUACGAGAAAUCAAAGUCUUUGGGUUCUGGGGGGAG